GGUCAGGACGAACGCUGGCGGCGUGCCUAACACAUGCAAGUCGAGCGAGGAGAUCCUCGGGAUGAUCCUAGCGGCGGACGGGUGAGUAACACGUGGGCAACCUGCCUCAUAGAGAGGAAUAGCCUUCCGAAAGGGAGAUUAAUACCUCAUAACAUUGCAGUUUCGCAUGGAACAGCAAUUAAAGGAGUAAUCCGCUAUGAGAUGGGCCCGCGGCGCAUUAGCUAGUUGGUGAGGUAAUGGCUCACCAAGGCGACGAUGCGUAGCCGACCUGAGAGGGUGAUCGGCCACAUUGGGACUGAGACACGGUCCAGACUCCUACGGGAGGCAGCAGUGGGAAUAUUGCACAAUGGGGGAAACCCUGAUGCAAGCAACGCCGCGUGAGUGAUGACGGCCUUCGGGUUGUAAAGCUCUGUCUUCAGGGACGAUAAUGACGGUACCUGAGGAGGAAGCCACGGCUAACUACGUGCCAGCAGCCGC
rnacentral:rRNA from 1 species